UACGGAGGGUGCAAGCGUUAUCCGGAUUCACUGGGUUUAAAGGGUGCGUAGGCGGGUUGGUAAGUCCGUGGUGAAAUCUCCAAGCUUAACUUGGAAACUGCCGUGGAUACUAUCAAUCUUGAAUAUCGUGGAGGUAAGCGGAAUAUGUCAUGUAGCGGUGAAAAUGCUUAGAUAUGACAUAGAACACCAAUUGCGUAGGCAGCUUACUACACGAUCAUUGACGCUGAGGCACGAAAGCGUGGGGAGCAAACAGG
rnacentral:rRNA from 1 species